UCCAGACUCCUACGGGAGGCAGCAGUGAGGAAUAUUGGUCAAUGGGCGGAAGCUUGAACCAGCCAAGUCGCGUGAGGGAUUAAGGCCCUGCGGGUCGUAAACCUCUUUUGCCGGGGAGCAGAGGUCCGGACGUGUCCGGGCCGGGAGAGUACCCGGAGAAAAAGCAUCGGCUAACUCCGUGCCAGCAGCCGCGGUAAUACGGAGGAUGCGAGCGUUAUCCGGAUUUAUUGGGUUUAAAGGGUGCGCAGGCGGAGGUGCAAGUCAGCGGUCAAAUUGCGGGGCUCAACCCCGUACUGCCGUUGAAACUGCAUCCCUUGAGUGCGCGAGAAGUAUGCGGAAUGCGUGGUGUAGCGGUGAAAUGCAUAGAUAUCACGCAGAACUCCGAUUGCGAAGGCAGCAUACCGGCGCCCAACUGACGCUGAAGCACGAAAGCGUGGGUAUCGAACAGGAUUAGAUACCCGAGUA
rnacentral:rRNA from 1 species